CGAAUACUGUACGUAAUACUAUGCGUGAUGACGUAGCCAAGAUGGCAGCUACCGCAAUUACAGCAGAGCUGAAAUUCAGAGACGGUCGAGCUCAUAAAGUGGAACAAAUAAACGUCCCAGUCGAGAACACGCUCCCGUCUUUAAUCACAGGGCUUCACAAAAUGAGCGAGAACGUCUCACGGAUUCUCAGCGAGCUCGUAGACAAGGAAAAACUCGCUGCAGGCUGCGCAGCUGAUGACGAAGAAGCCUGCGAAGACGACGACAGCGACGAUGAAGCCGAAAAAGAACCUAAGUCGGAGCCUCAACCGCCUGCGAAAAGAUCCAAAACGUGAUGAGUCCAACAGAGAAGAGCAAUGAUCAUGUAAUUUCCAACACCAUCGAGAUAACUUUUUUUUUUUUUUUUUUUACACUAAAAGGGUCAAUAAAAACUUGAAACAAUACA